CCCUUAGAUGUUCUGGGCCGCACGCGCGCUACACUGAUGCAUUCAACGAGUCUAAAACCUGCUCUGAUAGGGGUGGGUAAUCUUUUGAAUGUGCAUCGUGAUUGGGAUAGAUGAUUGCAAUUUUUCAUCUUCAACGAGGAAUGCCUAGUAAACGCAAGUCAACAGCUUGCGUUGAUUACGUCCCUGCCCUUUGUACACACCGCCCGUCGCUACUACUGAUUGGAUGUUUAAGCGAGGUUCUCGAACUGCUAGUGACUGAUCUUCGGUGAGGUCGCAGUGUGGGAAGUGAUCCUAGCUUUGGUGUCUAGAGGAAGUAAAAGUCGUAACA
rnacentral:rRNA from 1 species